rnacentral:rRNA from 1 species
UAGCAUGAAGUCAGACGA